rnacentral:rRNA from 1 species
AACGAACGCUGGCGGCAGGCCUAACACAUGCAAGUCGAGCGAAGUCUUCGGACUUAGCGGCGGACGGGUGAGUAACGCGUGGGAACGUGCCCUUUGGUUCGGAAUAGCCCCGGGAAACUGGGAGUAAUACCGGAUGAGCUCUACGGAGGAAAGAUUUAUCGCCAAAGGAUCGGCCCGCGUUGGAUUAGGUAGUUGGUGGGGUAAUGGACCACCCAGGCUACGAUCUAUAGCUGGUCUGAGAGGAUGAUCAGCCACACUGGGACUGAGACACGGCCCAGACUCCUACGGGAGGCAGCAGUGGGGAAUCUUGGACAAUGGGCGCAAGCCUGAUCCAGCCAUGCCGCGUGAGUGAAGAAGGCCUUAGGGUUGUAAAACUCUUUCGCCGGAGAAGAUAAUGACGGUAUCCGGAGAAGUAGCCCCGGCUAACUUCGUGCCAGCCGCCGCGGUAA